UUCCUAAUUAUAUAGAGUUCAUCGUUUGGUCCCAGUUAGUCAAUCAAUAAACCCCGAACAAUAACUUACCGCAGCACAAUGUCCAUUAGCUCUUGCACAUCCCUUUGCCUGGUGGACUUCAAACUCUGAGUCAUGGUCAGCCUAGCAACCAUAACGAGUCUUCUUUUGAUCACAGGGUAUCAACAAACUUUUUUAGGAAACCUUGUCAUGAGGGAAGGGUCCUCCUGCGAUUUCAUAAAGAAUAGAGAUAGCCCAAUUUAUAAGGAAAAUUAGGCCAAAAAUUAGGCAAACACGAUUUAUUAAGAGACAAUCAUGUAAAAAAACCACAAAGAGAGGAAAAGGAAACUAGAACAACAAUGCCGACAUUGUCGAAGCAUGACCUCCACCGCCAACAUGCCCUCAACCUGAAGAGAAGCCUGUGGGUUCUCCGGAGAUGCCCUCAAGAAGGAAACGAUACCCAUGGGCACCGUUGCCAUUGAAAUCAUCCCUUGUCAAAGUCUUAAACAUUUUUGCCUGGAGCCACCGAAAACCUCCACCCCCUCGCCUAACCUUGAGAAAAGGUCAUCCAUGAUAUAAACCACCAUGACAAGUCUAAGAACCGACCAACCUUGUUCUAGUGGAGAGGAGGAACCCUUCAACAACUGCUCGAAAAGAGAGAGCACCAACGUGUCAUUAUCGCUAGUACCCAUCGAGCCCAUUGAGAACAAUGUUUUUGUCCAGGGCCCUACGCCCCUCUACUUGCUCGAGUCCAGGGAAGGGGACUAGCCGUUGCCCGCACCGCACCUGCAAUAGCAGACCGCCCACGCCGCACACAUCGCCCCUCGAGGCGCCGAAUGGUCCACCAGUUGCUACCGCGGGAUUCCCUCACCGCCAGAGGCUAGACAAGAGGAGCAAGUCCCGUUGUCAUCAGCUCCGCCCGGGUUUCACCCGGUUGAGUGACGGCGAGCGAAGAGGCGAGGUAGAGGGGCGGGGAGGGAGGACAGAGCCGCCGCCACCCGUGUCGUCUAGGGAAGGGAGUGACGCCGACAUUUAAGAUCCAAGGUAUCAAAUCACAAAUACACAUUCCCCCAAAAAAUUAACAUAAGCAAUCCCCAAAAAUACAGGGGGUGUUUGGUUUCAGGGACUUUUUUAGGUUGGGACUAAAAAAAGUCCCUAAAAGUCUCUAGCAAACCAAACAAGGGGAACUUUUUUAGAACAUUUUACUAAAAAUCCUUAAAAGCACCUCCUUAAACGUCUUAUUCAAAAAGUCCUAGGACUGGAAAAAAGUCCUGUGACUAGAAAACCAAACACCACCACAAUCACACAACACACGCACGCCCCUCCCACUCUCGGAAUCCCCCCCCACUUUCACCUGUUCCUCCCACAGCCAGCUCCAUCCCUUCCCUCCCACACGAGCGAGACGCGAGACAUGGCUAGGGUUUUCGUCAGCGCUGCCGCCCUCGCCGUCGCCGCCGGCCGCGCCGUCGCCCGCACGGCCUCUCGAGCGGGCAAAGGGCCUCUUCUCAUGGGCGGCGGCAUCAUCACUGCCUACGUGUACCGCGAGCACCUCCGCCGCCUGGCCCGCCGUCUCUUCGCCUCUACUCGCGGGCCACAUGGAGCUUGGUGGUGAGUCGUCCUUCGAUUUCUGUCCUUCUGGUUCGGUUGCGAUAGCUUCUGCUGACACGGAUCUACAGGACCAAGGCGAGCCGCGCGGACAACAAGGGGGCGCGGAAGGUCCAGCAGGCGGCGCACCGCCGCUUCUACACAAAGAAGUUCGGGCCGGCCCCCCGCUGAAUAUCAGGUUCGAUUUGUUUCCCGAUCGUGUGUUCCGGGCUGGUGCGGCUUGGGGUCUAGACGUGAUCAAUUGAUUGAGUGGGUAUGGAUGUUGGAGGUGAUUUGCACGUGCGUGUGGUUUAGAUUCGAGACAGCAACGUUUUAGGACUUUUGCCAAAUUCGGCUGUAGUCAAACCAAUAAGGAAUGAAUUCUGGUCGGCCUGCCCACUGCAAUAGGCAACAGCUUACCAACCUUCCUAUAUGUCAAUCUCACACCUUUUUUUAACCCAAAAUGGAUUUUGUGAAAUGUGUAGUCAAGUAUGCAAUUCAAUCGACCGGUACAUUAGAUUUUAGAUUUUCGUGAUUUGGUCGUAUAGUGCAUAAAGCCUUGACAAGAGAUGGUGUAUUGCUGUGCAUCUCUGCUUGCUUUCACUUGAAACUGCAGGAUUUUGUGUGGGCAGCAUGGUGUUGUUCUGCCUACUGUUGCUGAGAGCGGUCCUGCAUAAUUGAUAUCAUGGAGGAUGGGACAUGUCUUGCUUUAAGAUGUUCUGAUGCAGUGCAAAACCUGCCCUCCAUGUACAACUUAAUGUGUUACCUUUUCUUGAGUACAAGCUCUACUGUUUACAUAAUGCAUUCUUGUAUUUAGGAACGGAGAGAGUAUGAAUACAUGUUUUCACAAUUUUCUCAAACUUGGGUAUGGAUUUAUCUAAAGUUUCAGUUAUGGGCUAUAUUUGACAUGAGAUCAGAGCUUGCAUUCUUCUUUGUCGUGACAGCAAGCGUACAGUUUUGAGAUCUUGACUGUACAAUAGUGAUACGAAGUAGGAUAUUUUCUGUUCACCAGGUGGCCUGUGGUGGCUGAUGGUGGUGAUAAAGAUGGUUUGUGAAUCUAUUAGUACUGUCGAAUCUUCUUGUUUGAGACGGCUUGUAGUCAAAUCCUGCUUUUGAGUUACGGUGCAAUCAGAUGCAGCGUAAUUGGGUAGCGGGCCAGUGUAAUUUCGUUUGCUUGUGCUGGGCCUGGGCGUGACGCUCCUGGCCUGGAGCCUCCUUUGGUCUGCAAUAUCUUCUCUGUUCCUUUUCCUAGACCAGUAAAUGCAUCUUCUGAAAGUGGGUGGCAUCAAGCUUCUAGUCACUAUUUGCUUCGCUAACCUUGCCAUUCAACUCCGGUCGAUCACAACUCCCUGUCAUGCUCAAACUAUUACUGUGAUUGGUCAUGUUCAUGGAUAUGGUGUCAUAUAAUCACGCAUAUCUAAUAGGCUCAGUCCUAGUACUAACUACUAAGUAUAUAUGGUGUCAUAUAGUCACGCAUGUCUUAGACGACCUGUGAGCGCUUCCUCAAAUAUCUGUGGUGGGGUUAUUAAAUAGCUGUUCUUCAAAUAUCUGUGGUGGGGUUAUUAAAUAUUUCCAGUUAGUCUCGCUCAUGUUUAUUUUUCUGACAGUCGACUCAUUAAAUUCUUUGGUCCAUAUCCAACCGGUGAGACCCAUCAAAAUCAAUACGACAGUAAAUUCUUUAACAACUGUGAAGGCUGCACCAGCAAAUGAGAUCAAGUCUUUAGACCGUGAAUUCUCUGUUGGUCGGUCUGCCUGUAAAUACACCAGACCUGAAAGAUUUAGUGGGGAAAUCUAUGAGAUCAGGUUAAGUUACCAUUACAUCUAAAAAAUGAACAUGUAAAUACAACAGAUAAUUUUUUUUAAUUCAGUCUCACCGACAUAAAAACAACUUCAAUAAUUAACUAACCUGUGAAUCCAUCCAUUGGUCUCUCUGAAGUCUCUCUGAAAUCUGAACCAUUAGCCUUCAUCAUUGCAAUCAGUUGAAGGGUUCCUCCCUUUUGUUUGCUGUAUCUUGUUGCAUCAUACAAUUUGAUACUUCUUCUAUUUCUGAACAUACUUGUGAUAUUUGGUGAAAAGCAGCUACAUGUGAUAUUUGGUGAAAAGACAAGCCAGUGAUGAAUCAACCUAAUCUGUAUUUGUACCAAGUUUUAAAUUGAUGUGAAUCUUUUUCUAUAUGAAUAAGGCCUCCUUUGGUUCAUAGGAUAGGAAUAUUAUAGGAAUUAACCAUAGGAAGUGAGAUGACAUGUAUCUCAAUUCCUAUAGGGAAAGAGAUGUCACUUGAUCCAUAGGAUAGGAACUUUUCCAUUACAUCUAGGCUAUUUUUUUUCUUUGAAAUGUGAUGGAUUGGUUCCUAUCCUACAUAGGAAUAUGAAUUCAUUAGUACAAGCCAAAGAGCUCCAAAAUUAUUUUUCCUACAAAAUUCCUCUAAACUAAAUGUUUUCACAAUUUUUCUCAAACUUUGGUAAGGAUUGUUUGUGACGUUUCAUUUAUGGGCUAUAUUUUGCAUUCUUGUGAUGGCAUCAAGAUCUAUGUAUGAUAUUUGCUGAGUUGGAGAAAAAAAGAAGAGAGAACGCUUCUCAAUGUGCGACACAGAAUGUACUGUACUUGCCGCAUACGUUUCUGGUUUACAUAUGUUGCAGAUGAACUUGAUCUCAGUCCCUAAACAUUUGCAUAUGUUUCUGAUUUGUGCAAUGUACAAUACAAAGUUACUGAACAACUCGACGCUGUAAAUUCUUUGCUAUGUUUUUCUCCUCUGUUCAUUGUCCAAAGUUACUGAACAACUUGUUCUUAUAAAUUCUCUGCAGGCUACCGGAGAAGGGCAUAUGCAAAUGGACAUAGUAGCGGACAAAUGGGUGGUUACAAGUUGAGAUAAAUUUUGGGUUAAAAAACUUGUGGGUUUACUCGAAUCCCUGCUAUCAUCUGAUUAUCACUGAAUCUGAGACUUACGCCGUCGUCUAUUGCUGUUGAAUCAGUGGACAAAUGUGGUGACUUUGAUGACGCUGGGAUGGAAAUUUUUGCAAUAGUAAUCGAAUUAUGCCGUCAUCUAUUGCUGUUGAAAUAUGCUGUCAAAAGUUGUUUGGAUGUCAUUUGGCAUUGACCUCUUUUUUGAGCUAGGGUAUAAUCAGUUGCAGUGUGAUUGGGCAGUGGGCUAGUGCUAUUUGGUUUGCGUUUGCUGGGCGUGACAGCUCCUGGCCUAGAGCCUCGUGAUGCAUACAGGACCGUGUUCGGUUACCCUCCAGUGGUAGCCCGGCCAGGACCUGUCACGGCAAGUGAUUGGCUUGGAGGCGCUAGGUCCUAAGGUCCUGUACAAUGCAAGGUGCUUGGAGUAGGUGCUUAGAGAAAUAAAUCAGUUUUUCUUUAAGCAUCAGUGCUUAUUUGUAGAGGGUAGACGCUUAAUUAAGCAUUUGUUCUGUAGAAUAAGCAUCUGUGUUUAAAAAAAGUUGGUUUAUUUUACUAAGCAUCUCUCAUUGUACAAGGCCUAAUUCGGCUUAGCUAGCAGCGACAUCACAGUUGGCGUACUUGCUAGUUGAGCAGCUAUGUCACCCUUCCUGACAUGGGACAAUUGUUUGAUGGAGAUCUUCCCCCGACGGAUAUGGUAACCGUCACAGAGUUAAAGAAGACGACGCCGGUCAAAAUUAACACUAGAUCAUAGAUUUGAUCCGCAUCAAACUGAGAAACGUUGUCAGGUAGUUCAAAAACAGAGAGAGAACGUCGUCGUCAUGCCAUAUAAGACCCAAUAAUAAAAGGGGAAUUUUUGUUUAUGCCACUCUUAACUUCCAACCAUUUUGCAUCAUAAUUACCACUGUAGUUUAGCUGGAAGUAAGUUGCCUGAAAAUUGAAUUUGGCUAUGGCGGCCGAUGCAAGAGACUGCACAGGAGAACCACCGACAAACAAUCUAACGACGAACGACCAAGUCGACAUAUGGCUCACGAUCGCCAUAAUUUAUGGAGGGCACUCGAUAACCGACCGUGUUGCCUUCAAAUAUUGAGGCUGGGAGGGCCAAUACGACACUUGCUCCAACCAAAACAACUAGCACGGUAGGUAAGUUUCAAGUUCUUCCUCCCGGCGUCCCACAUGGGAUUUGAAGUAGCCCAACCUUCCAAGCACCACCGGCGACGGGCAUCCAACCAGUAAUGCCACUCCAUCGGGUUGCCAUGGCCGGCCCGUUGCAUGGCCGCCACGCGCGACAUCAUCUCAUGGCUUGCGUAUGAGCUGGUUGAGAGGAGUUGUGCGAGCAACCGUGAUAGUCUGAGCAGUCGAGAAGCGCACGAGCAGCCCACGUCAACAUUUCUCACUGGGGAACAUGCCCUUUGACUGCUCGUCGUUUCCAGCCUACCCAAGUGCCUCCUUAAUGGCACUCAUAGCGGUGUAUAAGGACACCGCCCUCCCCUAUCUUGCUCCGAUUCUCUUUGUGGCACCGCCCAUUCUCAUCUCGUCUGCUUCCAACCCCCGAACAUCGUCUUCGAUGGCACAUCCGGAGAGUUGCCCCUCGUCUUUAGUUUUCGGGAUGAGGAAGAGGAAGGCAGCACAUGAACCCUCUAUCCCCCCUUUGGGAGCAGAUGGACCUUUCCUGGAGGAGGUUCCGCAAAUGGACGCACAAAUAGAGCUAGAUUUGGGUCCCGUGCCUGCAGUUGCAGACGAAAGGCCGGCCUGGGCCACCACCGCCAAGGUGCAUUUCCAAGCCAUCAAGGUCCAUUCCCGCAUUCUACGUAGGUGGUGAGGGUGGCAGUGGUCAUGGAGGUGGUCAUGGCCGCAACUAGGCAGUCCAUUUAAGAGUGGCACAAAUUGAAUGGUCAGAAUGUAGAUUUUCCAUAGUAAAAAGGAAGACCGGGUAUGAAAUGGAAAUCAAACAAAAAAGAUUGCUCCACGGAGCAUGUCAACUAUGUGUUCGCCAUAUAGCAUGAUAUUUAGAGUUGAUCACUUUCAAAUGCAUGGCUAGAUGAGAGCAGAUCUCGACAGAGCUGGAGUAACUUCUAUGACUUAAGGAAUACAAGUAAUUGAACUACCAAAUAACCAGGUGGGAAAUUGUACAGUGUGAUCAUAGCAUGUGUACCUUUUUGUCGGCACUUCUCCAUGUACAAAUUGACGCGGGGCUACUCGGCAAAAUUUUUCAUCUUUAUAGAUCCAUCACAAAUAUUGGGUGACCGACGGGCCAAUGAGGAGCUCUACCGCUGCACAAAAGCUCAACAUGCCAACGAACGGAAGCGAAGCUACACCCCAUCCUUUAUUUACCUUCAAAGGGAUAACAAAUGAGGACAAAGAGAGAGAACAAACCUAGAUGAACUAGAAUUCUAUUAAUCGGUUCCCCUUAAUCGCUAGUUGGAUACGUUCCUAAUUUGAUAAGAUUGUCAUGACUGUUUAGUGGACCAACCUUUCGAAAUAAAAGGGAUGGAGGAAAGACGAAAGGAUAACAUGACAAGGCACACAUAAUACAUUUUCAGGUUAAUAACUCAUUGACAGAGAUAAAAUGCACGCAACAAUGCUUAUCGCGCUGAGGUCAUAUGAACUCGCUGUGGCUACACCAAUGAUUUCUUUCAUACCUACAAACCCACUACAUAUACAUUAAUAAUUAGAAUUCCAACUCCUAAGUAUCCUGAAUGAGAAAUUUCCCGUUUAAGAUUAUUGAUCCAUUGUGCCUGGUUUGGCACCUUUUUUUCAGGAAUAUGUAAAGCUUUUGUAUCAUUUCAUUGAUUUUUCUUUUGUGGGUAUAUCAUUCCAUUGAUAUGGGAAGAAGUUCAGCAGUUUACAUGAUGUAACUCGACUUUCUAAUUUUUACCCACCUGCGCGGUCCUCACAAAUGGUGCUCGCAUGCAUGUCAGUUCUGGUUCGUGAUUAGGUGCCAUGGUGCAAAGGUACCUUGUUUGGUGCUACGUGAUAUGUGACCUGGAGCAACACAACUUCGUUUGCCCGAACAAGCUAGCAACCGAGCCACCAAUGAGCUGCCGUGAUUUCUCCGGCAAUUGCCACCGGCCACGCUGCUCUAAUCCACAUAUAAGGGUCUAGUAAGAAUACCAUUUCUCAGUGGCGCAUAACCGACGGUGCUGCAACUGCAAGUGCACCACACCGGCUACCGAUGCUACGACCAGUGAUGCGACAUGCUGCAAGUCAGAGCUGCCAGUGCUGCAAGUGUACCAUGUCGUCCAUCGAUGCUGCGAUGGUUAUGCAACACACUGCAAGGGCCGAGCAGGGAGAUGCCACCGAUGGUGCAACAGAGAAACGUGGUGAUGCAAGUGGAAUGCGCCGAUGCUAAGCUUCUAGAGCAUGAUGAGUGCUGCUGCGAGAAGAUGGUUGGUGCUGCUGCAAGGUACGGCAUCGGUGUGAGCCAAGCUAGCGGGGGUGUGCAGAUGUUGCGAGCGGGAGAAGCAGUCCUGCCAGUGUGGUGAGAGAGGACGACACAGAGCAGGAGGUGCGGGCGAGAAGGCACAAGGGGUCAGCGUCUCCCAAAAAACAUAUACCGGAUGUUUUUGUCUCGACAAACAACAUAUCAUGCAUACUAUAACUAUUUUUGUCUACACACCAUGAACCGGGGUACGAAUUUACAACUGGGGCUCUAGCGCCCCAGGAAAGAGUCUGACUGUAUGGUGCACAUCCCCGUUUUGAAAAAAGAAACAUGUUUCUGGAACAGCUCACAGUUACAAUAUGUAUUUAUCACUGCACCAAAAUUAAUAUAUAAAUUAUACUUAUACUUAUAUAUAUGUAGAUUGGAAGAAGGCAAGUAUAGUGUUGGAGCGAAAAUGAGCGGAAUGAAUAACACAACAACAACAAAAAAGAACUAUUCACAGCUAGAUUUGCUUUCAUUUAUCUGAUUAGAUAUGGGAUUAAACUUCUAUAACAUUACAGGUUCAUGUUGUAUCGAAGUCAGCAAAUUCUGUCCAGUUUUUUAAAACUUGUGUUGUAUUGGUGCACCAGGGUUGGGUGGCUUGGAAUCGACGCAGACAAGCAUGUAGAGAUAACCAACAAACAGUUAAACACCAUGGCGACAGAUUAAAAUCGAACAAACUAGCAAGCAAAAUCUACAAUCGGACAAGAAUACAGCCAGGAACACGUGAACAAGCCGUGUUUAUGCGUGACUAUGAAAUGGAGUAGCCUGUUCAUAAGAAACAGAGCGGAGGAAAUCUCUGAGAAUCGCCACAUAAAACAGAGGCAGUAGUGACAAACCUUUAUUUAUGCACCAAAAAGGGAACGACUGAUCCUCGAGCAAUUGCCGCGCCCCCUCCCGGGCCGAGAGAGAUCUGCAGGAUUGAAAGAGGAAUUAGGAACAGAAAGAACGUGAAGAUUAGCACGUCGUAACCAUGCAAACACUUCCGGUGAGAAGUGGAUCUGCCCGAGGGAAGAUUACAGGGCAUCACAGCGGAUUCAUCACGGCGGGGUCGUGGCUCCUACCUGCUUGAGAAGAUCACGCGGAAAUAGUCUAGGGUUCGUUCGUUCAUGAGAUCCGCAUAGGACCUGGAUGGAGCGAGAGGCAGAAGAUAAGGGAAGGGGGGAAAGAGAAACGAGGCAUUAAAAAACUGCCUGUACGUGAGCAGAACACGGCUCCAGCCGAAACCAGCGGCUGCAGAUGGGUCCGGCCCCUUCGCUGGCUCAUGUUGUCAGUGGCCACAGGGUACGUGCGUCGGUUGGUUCGUCUCGAGGCUUCGUUCCGACCGAGGAGCGAUCUGAGAUCUGACCCCGGAU
rnacentral:lncRNA from 1 species